GAAUAUCCACUGGAAAGUUCUCCUCCAAUCAACUGUGAGGCAGAAACAUCCGUUAUUUUCAACCAACUACAAUUUGUUGCGUUCAGCAUUCUGGGAAAAGAGAUGUUCCAGCGGGCUGUAGGCUUUGCACAGUUUUAUUUUAUGGAUACAUUUAUAUUGCUGUGCUGUGGAGCUGAAUUUCAUCUAUGAAGUUUCCAUCUAGAUGCGGCGAAGGAUGACCUAAGACGGAAUAUGUCCAAGAUGGAUACCAGCAUGAUGAGUCUGGCCAUAUCAUCAUUUGUUGUAACAUGAACACAGUACUUUCAUCAGUGGUUUGGACUCUCACCGACAAGACGCUCUGUCAGCUGCCUCACCAAGGAAUCAUACAAAUUGGAAUCGUUGGGUUAGGUUAAUAUGGACUAUUAUUUGUGCUCUAAAGAACCCAUCGUUUUUCUUUUUGCUCUACUAAAAAGAAGAGAAGGGGGAGAUGUGGGAUAAAGAAAGUCAUUAUCAUGCUAAUAAGUAAAAAAGCUUAGUAAUUUGAGCCAGAUGCCAACACACACAAGGCACCUGGCUCCUACAUGUAACCAGUUGUUGUUGCACGGGUAUAAAAGGUUGUAAGCACUUUCAAUAAAGAUCCUUCAUUCUGCACCAGCAAA